GACGAACGCUGGCGGCGUGCUUAACACAUGCAAGUCGAACGGACAGACGCGGGGUUUGUGCCUUUGACGAGUGGCGCGCGGGGGAGUAAAACAUGAGGAACCUCCCCCUAAAUGAGUGGUAAAUCCUGGAAACACCGGCUAUUAUAGGGGAUGAUAUUUUGAACCGUAUGGUUGAAUUGGGAAAGUCGGCUGUUCUGGAUCGUCUCGCGGGAUAUCCGCUUGUUUGUGUGGUUUUGGCUGACCAAGGCUACGACGGGUAGCCGGCCUGAGAGGGCGAACGGCCACCCUGGGACUGAGAGAGGGACCAGAAGCGUAUGGGAGGCAGCAGUGGAGAGCAUUGCACAAUGGGGGCAAGUCUGAUGUAGCGGUGUCGGGUGCGUGAUGCUGGCUUACGGGGGGUAAACAUAUUUGUAAGGAGAAGAAGAGGUCGUGACGGUACCUAAUCAAGAAGCAACGGCUAACUACGUG
rnacentral:rRNA from 1 species